rnacentral:misc_RNA from 1 species
AUGUCUUCGGCCACAUUUCCAUUACAUAUACAGUUUGAGUUGUUUAUAUACCAAAAGGAAGAUUCAUUUUUCUCUCAUCAUAUUGUCCUCUAAUCAUUUGUGCUGCCUAUUAAAAUAUAUAUUUCCAGGCUUUAUCUUCUCUCUUUAUGACACACUAAAUUGCAUACAUGUUUGGCACUUAUAAUAUGACAUCUGGUUAUAAAUGUUGUUUAACCAAGAGAAAUUAUUAUUAUUAUUUUUGGGGUACUUCAUGUGAGAGAUUUAUCAUAAUAGGUUAAAAGUUAUGCCAAAGGAAUGCGUGUUAUGCAUUCCUAUGCAGUUGCUGAUACAUACUUGAUUUUACUUCUGACGGUUUAAAAAACUUACAAGAAAGACAAAUAAUUAUGCAGGGAAAUAGGUCAUGGGAUACAAG